GAAGGUCUAGGAUUUAGAAUUGAUCAAAUAGUACGGGCAUGGAAUGAGAUGUAUGAAGCAAAACGGUGGGAAAGAGGCGUCCCUUCUUUCAGGUUGGAACCGUUGCUUAGGCGGCGAGUUUCCAAGCUGUAUCAUGCCCUUGAAUUAGCAUGAGUUCUGGUUAUGGUGUCAGAGGAAUCAAGAAAGAAACUCACUAUUACUGUUGUUGUUGCACUCAGUCUACGCUAUGCUCGCUGGGAAGGGAUUGUUUGUGCAUCAGCUGUUAAUACAGGUUUUGGAAUUUGGACCUUGUGGCACUAUCAUACUAAGGAUUGUAUUACCUGUUUUCGUUCCAUCGCUUUUUACAGUAUCACAAAGGAAUUAAAGAAAAGAGAAGUUUUUAUCUCUUUUCCUUUAUAUGGAGAUGAAGAGGCAGAAACAUGUUUUUCUUUAUUUUUGCCUUGUCGUUGUCUUGCCCAGUGCUGUGCUGCAGGUUCCUCAAAGCCAGUAGCGAAUCGGUUUAUGUAGUUUUCAGUUAUUCUCCUUUUGGCUCAUGGAAGGGUCCUAAAGGCAUUCUUUUCUUAUAGGAAUUUCUUUGUUAGGAGAACUUUUUGUUGUCACCAAGAUUGGCUUGUAGUACUGUUUUGUGUCAGUUUAGCCUUACUGUAUGUUUUUCUUAAGAGAUUUCACAAUUAGCGUCCUAGAUAGAGUUCUUGCAUUGUAUUGAUGUAACAUUAUU
rnacentral:misc_RNA from 1 species